rnacentral:rRNA from 1 species
CCUACGGGAGGCUGCAGUGGGGAAUAUUGGACAAUGGGCGAAAGCCUGAUCCAGCCAUGCCGCGUGUGUGAAGAAGGCCUUCGGGUUGUAAAGCACUUUCAGUGGGGAAGAAAGCCUUGGGGCUAAUACCCUCGAGGAAGGACAUCACCCACAGAAGAAGCACCGGCUAACUCCGUGCCAGCAGCCGCGGUAAUACGGAGGGUGCGAGCGUUAAUCGGAAUUACUGGGCGUAAAGCGCGCGUAGGCGGUCUGAUAAGCCGGUUGUGAAAGCCCCGGGCUCAACCUGGGAACGGCAUCCGGAACUGUCAGGCUAGAGUGCAGGAGAGGAAGGUAGAAGUCCCGGUGUAGCAGUGAAAUGCGUAGAGAUCGGGAGGAAUACCAGUGGCGAAGGCGACCUUCUGGACUGACACUGACGCUGAGGUGCGAAAGCGUGGGUAGCAAACAGGAUUAGAUACCCCAGUAGUC